GGCCGAGUGGCGGAAUAGGCAGACGCGCCGGAUUCAAAAUCCGGUGGGGUCACUCCCAUGAGGGUUCGAUUCCCUCCUUGGCCA
rnacentral:tRNA from 1 species